GAAAGAAUGGGAUAUGAUGGAUUUUUCAAGCACGGUGGAGGUGAAGUUUCCCGAGAUUAAGACCGACUCGUGGUUCAACGUCAUCGCUAAGUGGGAUGAGUGCAGGAAUGCAUGUGAUACGGAAAUGGUAAGAGAGGAUCACUGAUAAGUUGGAUGAGUGCGGGAGUGCAAGUAUAAUGAAUCUAUAGUCCGGUUUUAAUAAUAGUUUGGAAUGGACAAAUUGCUGUGUUGAGCUGAGCUGUUUGAUACCAGAAAGUGAUGCAGAAAUGGGGAAAGAGAAUCACCAGCUCUGAGUGAAAUCAAUAGUCCGACUUUAAUAAGACCUAAAUCGUGGUAAUGGUAACUCCUGGACUUCAAGGCUUGCAAAAAACUUGAAAAAGAAGACCCAAAGAACAAAGCUCAAACCAUACCAUAUGAUCAGAACAUUAAGGAUAUUCCAAGCUUUUCUUCUGGUUGUAGAUUGAGGUACUUUGCGCACUGAUUUACAGGUCUCCUUUUCUGGUGUUUUACGGUCUCCUUUUCUGGUAUGAAUCCCACUGAACAUGGUACAUGUUCCAUUGAGUUCGAUUCCUCCUUCUAGUGAGUGAUUAGUAAGAGCCUUCAGCUUGUGCUUAGAAAAUCGGAUCCUCUUCCGAAUAUUUCACUUUGUGCUUAGGAUAAACUCGUGUUUUGCACAGUGAGCCUGUAAACUUUGCAUACCUACACGAAAAUCGUCAUUAACAGGUCCAUUGAAUGAGACCCAAGUUUGAAUUUUACGUGCACCCAAUAAAAGUAGAGAAAGGGGAUCAAAUUGGAUACUCCUCAAUAUAUGUGGUUCCUUCCAUAGGGUCCGUAGGGUUCGUCCAGAAGAAAAUAACAGAUGACUGGUAACAUAGAUGAGCUCAAAAAAUAUCACUCAAAGCUAGGGGACGGAAUAAUUCAUCUUUCAUAUCAUACUCGUGUGAUCUUUUGGUAUUUAUAGUACCCUUCUUGAAUCAUUGAAUUAGCGUUCACAUGUAGAAUCUUUUACCGGCGUAAUUACGCCAACCAUGCAUACUUUAUCAGGUUGCAGACAUAUUAAAACUAGUACCUUUGAAACAGGCAGACGGACGACCAAUCCGCACGGUUCCCUCCGGUGACCCUUUCAAAUGCUUACUUAGCAUCAUUACCAUUUUCUUUGAAACACCCACUUCAAGAUAGCAACUAGCAUCUUUGAAAGAGGCAGAAGGGCGACCAGUCAUAUAGACUGUGUGAUAUAUAGUUCCCUUCCAGGACCCCUUUCAAAUCCUUACUCAAUACUAUAUCCAAUUUCACCUUUCACUUGAAACGGGAACUUCGAGAUAGCAACCCGUACACCUGAAAUAGGCAGAAUGAGAAACACUCAACAUUGUUUCCUUCUAGGACCUUUUUCAAAUAUAAGAUGCAAGAACAAAAAGUUAGCAUAAUCAAUGCAGCAACCAACCACCAUGUACCUACACUUGAAAUCAUAAGUGGCUAUGGACUGUUGCAAAUACAUCAAGAAAAUCAAUUUUGACAUCACAAACUCACGUGAAAUUCACUAGCCAUGGUGUUGAUCUCGUUUAACACUUUAUCAUGACAGGUCGGAUUGAAGAAUCACAUUGCAAAUACUAGGCAACUCAUUAGCUGCCAUGAUAAUACUUGUUCUUGUUCUUUCAGAAACAUCUAUGAUUUCACAAUUAGAUUGCUCUAGAAGGGGGAAUAUGAUUCACCAAUGGCUAUUCUGUUUCUUCCCUAGAUCCUCCUUCAAAUCCUUACUCAAUAUUAUAUCCAAUUUCACCUUUCACUUGAAACAAGGACUUUGAGAUAGCAACUAGUACAUCAAGCAGAAGGACAAGCACUCUGUUUCUUCCCUGAAUCCUCCUUUAAAUACCAACACAACCUUUGGCAAGCACAUAAUAGUCACAAAUGGCAUAAAACUUGUACUUCUCGCUCUCUCAAUUCAUGUAACUGGCCACCAAAAACUGUAGAAUUAUCUUGUUAAUUAUUGUAAUAGGGUUAGCUUUAUCGGUUAAUAGUCUAAC
rnacentral:lncRNA from 1 species